GUCCAGACUCCUACGGGAGGCAGCAGUGGGGAAUAUUGCACAAUGGGGGAAACCCUGAUGCAGCGACGCCGCGUGAGCGAUGAAGUAUUUCGGUAUGUAAAGCUCUAUCAGCAGGGAAGAAAAUGACGGUACCUGACUAAGAAGCCCCGGCUAACUACGUGCCAGCAGCCGCGGUAAUACGUAGGGGGCAAGCGUUAUCCGGAUUUACUGGGUGUAAAGGGAGCGUAGACGGCUGUGCAAGCCAGAUGUGAAAGCCCGGGGCUCAACCCCGGGACUGCAUUUGGAACUGUGUGGCUGGAGUGUCGGAGAGGCAGGCGGAAUUCCUAGUGUAGCGGUGAAAUGCGUAGAUAUUAGGAGGAACACCAGUGGCGAAGGCGGCCUGCUGGACGAUGACUGACGUUGAGGCUCGAAAGCGUGGGGAGCAAACAGGAUUAGAUACCCCGGUAAG
rnacentral:rRNA from 1 species